CAGAAGCCCGGCUCUCCUCUGCUUCCCGAUCAGCUGCCGCCUAGUGAGGCUUUAGCAACAGGUAAACCUGCUCGCUGCCUCUCAGUCCAGCCCCGCUGUUGGAAGACUUUCCCUAGCCCACAAUUCUGGUGACCUCCGAUUUUUUUUUAAGUUGAAUUUCCUUCUACAGUGACUUUUUAACCCCAUCCACCCCGUAGUCCUCGGGGCAGAGAGAUUGCUGGGGUAGAUCACAGAACUUCUUGUCUUCCGGAGAAAAAAAAGUAUGCAGUGCUUUUAACCUGGGAAUGUGCAGUUUCUCCAACUGCUGAAACCCAGCCUGCUCUAUGGAAAGGCAACCCUGGGCUUGGUCUCUGCUUUAUUUUCCUGCCUCGUGCUCCGCAUUUGGGAGCUUUUUGCAAACUUUUGCAAACCCCCUGCAAACAGGAGGUAAAGCUCAUGCAGGUAUGAGGGCGGUAAGUUAAACCUAGGAAUUUGGAACUUUUCUGCUUGGAGAAGUAUAAGCAGCCAAUUUUGCAACUGCGGCAUUUAAAGGAGAAUGGAACUUUGGAUGCAACUGUUUUGGUGCUGGUGGAGCGAACUCACGCCCCUGGCCAGCCUUUUCGGCGACUAGUGCCAAGAGUCCUCGUUCACCAGCGCCGCCCCUUUAAGAGAUUUAGACUGACUGCAGACAUUUUGUAACUUUUUAAAGGGGGAAAAGGGCAGUUCCCAGAAGGAAAACAGACCGUGACCCGGUGAAAGAACCGUCUCUGCUCCCCAGCUGUUCCCCUGGGAGAUGGAACGGAGCCCAAGCAGCUCUAUGACCGCACUAGUAGAGACCCGGCUGCUCAGGAGUGGCCAAGGACCUCUGCCGCUGUGCCCAGGGCCGAGACUGAAAACCAUUUUUUUUUUUUUUUGCUCGUGGGUGGGAUUUCCCCAGAGCAAAGGGCAAACAAAUCUUUAGCGGGUAACAAUGAGGAUUAGGAGUACAAGUCGUCUGCGUCGUUUGUCUUGGCUGCAGCUCUACCUACCUACCCGAGGUCCACCCUCUCUAGCCCGUCUCCCAGUGGAAGAAAGAGAAGGAUGCAGGCCUUUGUUUCUUCUAUCCAAAGGAAGGGAAGAGAGUUAGCAUUUUCAUUACCAUCCAACUAACCCCAGUAAAGAAGCAAAGCAACUGAGAGAGAUGCCCUAGCCGGAAUACUUUGGCUCUCACCCUAGCCGUGCAGAAAGGAAGCAGGAUCUUCCAUCUACAUCUCCAGAAAGUUGCUGGCAAAGUGAAGGAGCUACCUAAUAAAGAGUCCUCUCAGCCCAGCUUCCCAGGACAACCAAGGAAGAGGUGAAGAAGCCAGUACUGCACAAGCACAGAGCCUGCCAACCCAGUGAUUCUGGAGACUGAAGAAUUAAUUCAUAAUCCAAACCCCACCACCACUGUGGCAGAGAAAGGGGCCUGCAUGGCAAGUGGAAAUGCCUAGGCAAGGGGCAGCCUUGGCUCUGUCUGGAGGAAGUUUGGCGAGCUCCAAAGAGGACACGGAUCCCCUUCCAUGCCAAGCGGUCCACCACAUCUAAAAUUAAGGUGGUAGAACUUAUUUCUUGUUCUGGGCCCAUCUCUUCACCCCCUCACUUACCAUUAAUGCUGUGGAGUUUUUCCAAUAUUCCAGUCUUUUAAGAGGAGAUUAUUUUAACUAUAAUUUGCAACAUAAGUGACUGCUUCAUAGAGCAAAGUACAUGAUGAAAUUAACCAAGCAGUUCAUUAAAAAAACAAAACUUGCUGUUAAUAAUUCACAUUUCUAUAGCAUACACUUAGCAAGUUACUAAGGGCUUUCCUUACCAAAAAAAACCUUGGAGUUGAAUAGUCUUAUGCUCUUUAGCCUAUUAAAGCUAAAAAGACCAAGGCUCCCAGUGGCUGAAUAAAGGGGGGGGGAGGAAUAAGCAAUUAUAUGGUGCCUACUACAUGCCAGGCAUUGUGCUAAGUG